rnacentral:rRNA from 1 species
ACGGACGAGAAGCUUGCUUCUCUGAUGUUAGCGGCGGACGGGUGAGUAACACGUGGAUAACCUACCUAUAAGACUGGGAUAACUUCGGGAAACCGGAGCUAAUACCGGAUAAUAUUUUGAACCGCAUGGUUCAAAAGUGAAAGACGGUCUUGCUGUCACUUAUAGAUGGAUCCGCGCUGCAUUAGCUAGUUGGUAAGGUAACGGCUUACCAAGGCAACGAUGCAUAGCCGACCUGAGAGGGUGAUCGGCCACACUGGAACUGAGACACGGUCCAGACUCCUACGGGAGGCAGCAGUAGGGAAUCUUCCGCAAUGGGCGAAAGCCUGACGGAGCAACGCCGCGUGAGUGAUGAAGGUCUUCGGAUCGUAAAACUCUGUUAUUAGGGAAGAACAUAUGUGUAAGUAACUGUGCACAUCUUGACGGUACCUAAUCAGAAAGCCACGGCUAACUACGUGCCAGCAGCCGCGGUAAUACGUAGGUGGCAAGCGUUAUCCGGAAUUAUUGGGCGUAAAGCGCGCGUAGGCGGUUUUUUAAGUCUGAUGUGAAAGCCCACGGCUCAACCGUGGAGGGUCAUUGGAAACUGGAAAACUUGAGUGCAGAAGAGGAAAGUGGAAUUCCAUGUGUAGCGGUGAAAUGCGCAGAGAUAUGGAGGAACACCAGUGGCGAAGGCGACUUUCUGGUCUGUAACUGACGCUGAUGUGCGAAAGCGUGGGGAUCAAACAGGAUUAGAUACCCUGGUAGUCCACGCCGUAAACGAUGAGUGCUAAGUGUUAGGGGGUUUCCGCCCCUUAGUGCUGCAGCUAACGCAUUAAGCACUCCGCCUGGGGAGUACGACCGCAAGUUG